rnacentral:tRNA from 1 species
GGCGAUGUAGCUCAUUGGUAGAGCGCUCGCUUUGCAUGUGAGAGGCCCAGGUUCAAUCCCCGGCAUCUCCA